CCCGAGGACGCCCAGCAGAUGUAGCUGAAGCCCAAUACAAACGACCUGUGGAAUCACUCCCCAGAAACUCCCUACGCAUAGCUUGUUUCAGAAGUUGUGAUUCAAUGCCGGUAAUCAAAUUCUGCAGAUGAAGAAUGUCAUCCUUAAUGGUGCUCAACUCAGGACAGUGGGCUUGUGACUCGUUCAAAGCAACAGAAGGCACAUUCUCAACAGCAUGAAUAUUCAUGUCUGAUGACAGAGAAGAUCCUGGAUGAUUUGAAGGAGCUGAAGAGUCUUUCUCAACAUGUCCUUGCAAGCUAUUAUGGUGGCAAAUUUCACCCGUGUGAUCAAUUACUUGUGGCAAAUGACUUGAUAAAGACAACUCCCUAGGUCUAAAGGACUUGUCAUUUUCUUGAUAUGGUAUGCUACUACCAUCCAUGACAACAUCUUUCACUUGCCCUUUAGUAUCCAUCGUAUUACCAGUUUGGCUGUCACAAUUGAGCUUUUUCUCAUAAUUCAGAACAGAAGGAUGUUUACCAAAGCCACUAAUCCCACAUCCCUCUUGACUGUCAUCUAUUGCAGGCACAUCAUCAGAGCAGGCACAGAAGUGAUUAGGUCUAUCACUCAAACUAGGUGGCUUUCCCAUACAAUUACUCUGAUUUGUAAAUGCAGAACCAAGUCCUUCCCUUGCAUCUCCAGAUGCGCUAGUAUCCAACUUCAAAGUUCUCACAGCCAGAA
rnacentral:misc_RNA from 1 species